CCUACGGGUGGCAGCAGUGAGGAAUAUUGGUCAAUGGACGAGAGUCUGAACCAGCCAAGUCGCGUGAAGGAUGACUGCCCUAUGGGUUGUAAACUUCUUUUAUAUGGGAAUAAAAUGUCCCACGUGUGGGAGUUUGUAUGUACCAUAUGAAUAAGCAUCGGCUAACUCCGUGCCAGCAGCCGCGGUAAUACGGAGGAUCCGAGCGUUAUCCGGAUUUAUUGGGUUUAAAGGGUGCGGAGGUGGGUUGUUAAGUCAGUUGUGAAAGUUUGGGGCUCAACCGUAAAAGUGCAGUUGAAACUGGCAGUCUUGAGUAUAGUAGAGGUAGGCGGAAUUCGUGGUGUAGCGGUGAAAUGCUUAGAUAUCACGCAGAACGCCGAUUGCGAAGGCAGCUCACUGGACUACAACUGACGCUGAGGCUCGAAAGCGUGGGUAUCAAACAGGAUUAGAUACCCUGGUAGUC
rnacentral:rRNA from 1 species